AAUAUUGCACAAUGGGGGAAACCCUGAUGCAGCGACGCCGCGUGAGCGAAGAAGGNCUNNGGGUCNUNAAGCUCUGUCCUAAGNNNNNAAACGGACGGUCCCUUAGGAGGAAGCCCCGGCUAACUACGUGCCAGCAGCCGCGGUAAUACGUAGGGGGCGAGCGUUAUCCGGAAUUAUUGGGCGUAAAGGGUUCGCAGGCGGUCUUUUAAGUCAGAUGUGAAAUACAUAGGCUCAACCUAUGUCAGCAUUUGAAACUGGGAGACUUGAGUUAUGGAGAGGAAAGUGGAAUUCCUAGUGUAGCGGUGAAAUGCGUAGAUAUUAGGAGGAAUACCAGUGGCGAAGGCGACUUUCUGGACAUUAACUGACGCUGAGGAACGAAAGCGUGGGGAGCAAACAG
rnacentral:rRNA from 1 species